UGGUUCUCGUUAGAUCACCGAAGUCAAGCAUCAUUGGGCGUGGUCAGUACUUGGGUGGGUAACCACCUGGGAACACCGCUUGCCGUU